rnacentral:rRNA from 2 species
AGCAUGUAGGCGGAGGUUCCAGGUAAAUCCGGUACCUUUUUAACGCUGAGGUGUGAUGACGAGGCACUACGGUGCUGAAGUAACAAAUGCCCUGCUUCCAGGAAAAGCCUCUAAGCAUCAGGUAACAUCAAAUCGUACCCCAAACCGACACAGGUGGUCAGGUAGAGAAUACCAAGGCGCUUGAGAGAACUCGGGUGAAGGAACUAGGCAAAAUGGUGCCGUAACUUCGGGAGAAGGCACGCUGAUAUGUAGGUGA